GAUGAACGCUGGCGGCGUGCCUAACACAUGCAAGUCGAGCGAUCUUCUUCGGAAGAGAGCGGCGGACGGGUGAGUAACGCGUGGGUAACCUACCNCAUACACAUGGAUAACAUACCGAAAGGUAUGCUAAUACAAGAUGAUAUAAGAGAUUCGCAUGGAUUUCUUAUCAAAGCUCCGGCGGUAUGAGAUGGACCCGCGUCUGAUUAGCUAGUUGGUAAGGUAACGGCUUACCAAGGCGACGAUCAGUAGCCGACCUGAGAGGGUGAUCGGCCACAUUGGAACUGAGACACGGUCCAAACUCCUACGGGAGGCAGCAGUGGGGAAUAUUGCACAAUGGGCGAAAGCCUGAUGCAGCAACGCCGCGUGAGCGAUGAAGGCCUUCGGGUCGUAAAGCUCUGUCCUCAAGGAAGAUAAUGACGGUACUUGAGGAGGAAGCCCGGCUAACUACGUG
rnacentral:rRNA from 1 species